GCUGGGUGUGGUGGCGCACGCCAGUAAUCCCAGCAGCUUGGGAGGCUGAGGCAGGAGGAUUGUGAGCUCAAAGCCAGCCUCAGCAAUGGCAAGGUACUAAGCAACUCUGUGAGACCCUGUCUCUA
rnacentral:sRNA from 1 species